ACAACCCUAGGAGUGGGUGCCAUUCACAUAGACUGUAAUUGAAUGGCGCCACUAGGGUUGUG
rnacentral:pre_miRNA from 1 species